UACGUAGGGCGCGAGCGUUAUCCGGAAUUAUUGGGCGUAAAGAGCUCGUAGGCGGUUUGUCACGUCUGCUGUGAAAACUGGAGGCUCAACCUCCAGCCUGCAGUGGGUACGGGCAGACUAGAGUGCGGUAGGGGAGACUGGAAUUCCUGGUGUAGCGGUGGAAUGCGCAGAUAUCAGGAGGAACACCGAUGGCGAAGGCAGGUCACUGGGCCGCAACUGACGCUGAGGAGCGAAAGCAUGGGGAGCGAACAGG
rnacentral:rRNA from 1 species